ACUAAGCGUAUACGGUGGAUGCCUUGGCAGUCAGAGGCGAUGAAGGACGUAGUAACUUGCGAAAAGCGUUGGCGAGCUAGUAACAAGCAUUUGAGCUAACGAUGUCCGAAUGGGGAAACCCACUUACAUAAGUAAGUAUCACAACAUGAAUACAUAGUGUUGUGAGGCAAACCCGGGGAACUGAAACAUCUAAGUACCCGGAGGAAAAGAAAUCAACCGAGAUUCCCCUAGUAGCGGCGAGCGAACGGGGAUUAGCCCUUAAGCAUAGAGGGUGUUAGUGGAAUGUGUUGGAAAGCACAGCGGCACAGGGUGAUAGCCCCGUACACGAAAACUAACUUUAUGUGAAAACGAGUAGGACGGGACACGUGACAUCUUGUCUGAACAUGGGGGGACCAUCCUCCAAGGCUAAAUACUCCUGACUGACCGAUAGUGAACCAGUACCGUGAGGGAAAGGCGAAAAGAACCCCUGUGAGGGGAGUGAAAUAGAACCUGAAACCGUGUACGUACAAGCAGUGGGAGCGGUUCUUGAGACCGUGACUGCGUACCUUUUGUAUAAUGGGUCAGCGACUUACAUUUUGUAGCAAGGUUAAGCGAAUAGCGGAGCCGUAGGGAAACCGAGUGUUAACUGCGCGUUUAGUUGCAAGGUGUAGACCCGAAACCGAGUGAUCUAGCCAUGGGCAGGUUGAAGGUUGAGUAACAUCAACUGGAGGACCGAACACACGUAUGUUGAAAAAUGCGGUGAUGACUUGUGGCUGGGGGUGAAAGGCCAAUCAAACUCGGAGAUAUCUGGUUCUCCUCGAAAGCUAUUUAGGUAGCGCCUCGAGCGAAUACCACUGGGGGUAGAGCACUGUUAAGGCUAGGGGGUCAUCCCGACUUACCAACCCUUUGCAAACUCCGAAUACCAGUGAGUACUACUCGGGAGACACACGGCGGGUGCUAACGUCCGUCGUGAAAAGGGAAACAACCCAGACCAUCAGCUAAGGUCCCAAAGUUAUUGCUAAGUGGGAAACGAUGUGGGAAGGCUUAGACAGCUAGGAUGUUGGCUUAGAAGCAGCCAUCAUUUAAAGAAAGCGUAAUAGCUCACUAGUCGAGUCGGCCUGCGCGGAAGAUUUAACGGGGCUAAGCAAUACACCGAAGCUAUGGGUUUGCUAGUUUACUAGCAAGCGGUAGAGGAGCGUUCUGUAAGCGGUUGAAGGUGAAGGGGUAACCCACACUGGACGUAUCAGAAGUGCGAAUGCUGACAUGAGUAACGAUAAAGGGAGUGAAAAACUCCCUCGCCGAAAGACCAAGGGUUCCUGUCCAAUGUUAAUCAGGGCAGGGUGAGUCGACCCCUAAGGCGAGGCCGAAAGGCGUAGUCGAUGGGAAACGGGUUAAUAUUCCCGUACUUCUGCUAACUGCGAUGGAGAGACGGAGAAGGCUAGGCUAGCGCGGCGUUGGUUGUCCGCGUUUAAGGCUGUAGGCUGUUCACUUAGGCAAAUCCGGGUGAACAUAAGGCUGAGAGUUGAUGACGAGUCCCCAAGGGGAUGAAGUAGUUGAUGCCAUGCUUCCAGGAAAAUCUUCUAAGCUUCAGGUUAGUAGGAAUCGUACCCCAAACCGACACAGGUGGUUGGGUAGAGAAUACCAAGGCGCUUGAGAGAACUCGGCUGAAGGAACUAGGCAAAAUGGUACCGUAACUUCGGGAGAAGGUACGCUGCCGGCGGUGAUGGGACUUGCUCCYUAAGCUGCUGGCAGUCGCAGAUACCAGGUGGCUGCAACUGUUUAUCAAAAACACAGUACUGUGCAAACUCGCAAGAGGAAGUAUACGGUAUGGAGUCAACCUUGAAAUACCACCCUUGUAGUUUUGAUGUUCUAACUCUGGCCCCUGAAUCGGGGUUGAGGACAGUGCCUGGUGGGUAGUUUGACUGGGGCGGUCUCCUCCCAAAGAGUAACGGAGGAGCACGAAGGUUGGCUAAGUACGGUCGGACAUCGUACGGUUAGUGCAAUGGCAUAAGCCAGCUUAACUGCGAGACAUACACGUCGAGCAGGUACGAAAGUAGGUCAUAGUGAUCCGGUGGUUCUGAAUGGAAGGGCCAUCGCUCAACGGAUAAAAGGUACGCCGGGGAUAACAGGCUGAUACCGCCCAAGAGUUCAUAUCGACGGCGGUGUUUGGCACCUCGAUGUCGGCUCAUCACAUCCUGGGGCUGAAGUCGGUCCCAAGGGUAUGGCUGUUCGCCAUUUAAAGUGGUACGCGAGCUGGGUUCAGAACGUCGUGAGACAGUUCGGUCCCUAUCUGCCGUGGGCGUUGGAUGAUUGAAGGAAGCUGCUCCUAGUACGAGAGGACCGGAGUGGACGAACCGCUGGUGUUCGGGUUGUUAUGCCAAUAGCAUUGCCCGGUAGCUACGUUCGGAAUCGAUAACCGCUGAAAGCAUCUAAGCGGGAAGCGAGUCCUAAGAUGAGUCAUCCCUAGAGAUUUAAUCUCUCUAAAGAGCCGUUCUAGACUAGGACGUUGAUAGGCAAGGUGUGUAAGCGUUGUGAGGCGUUGAGCUAACUUGUACUAAUGACUCGUGAGGCUUAACC
rnacentral:rRNA from 1 species